rnacentral:rRNA from 1 species
UACGAAGGGGGCUAGCGUUGCUCGGAAUCACUGGGCGUAAAGCGCACGUAGGCGGCUUGUUAAGUCAGGGGUGAAAUCCUGGAGCUCAACUCCAGAACUGCCUUUGAUACUGGCGAGCUUGAGUCCGGGAGAGGUGAGUGGAACUGCGAGUGUAGAGGUGAAAUUCGUAGAUAUUCGCAAGAGCACCAGUGGCGAAGGCGGCUCACUGGCCCGGUACUGACGCUGAGGUGCGAAAGCGCGGGGAGCAAACAGG